CAAUAGCGUAUAUUAAAGUUGUUGCAGUUAAAAAGCUCGUAGUUGGAUUUCGAAUGGGAGCGGUGGGUCGGGUCCGCAAGGGCUCGUUACCUGUUUCGUCUCCGGUUCUUUUUCGGGAUUGUUCUGGCGUGGCUGGCAUUGAGUUGUCGGUGGCGUCGGGCCCGUCGUUUACUGUGAACAAAUUAGAGUGUUCAAAGCAAGGUGUGUCUUGAAUACAUUAGCAUGGAAUAAUGAGAUAGGACUUUGGUGGUUUCGGUGAAAGCCGGAUAUUUUGUUGGUUUGCACGCCAAAGUAAUGAUUAAUAGGAGCAGUUGGGGGUAUUCGUAUUCAAUUGUCAGAGGUGAAAUUCUUGGAUUUCUAGAAGACGAACUACUGCGAAAGCAUUUACCAGGGAUGUUUUCAUUAA
rnacentral:rRNA from 1 species